rnacentral:rRNA from 1 species
GAGCACGUAGGUGGGUUUGUAAGUCAGAUGUGAAAGCCUUCUGUUCAACGGAAGAAUUGCAUCUGAAACUGCGAGUCUUGAGUGUAGGAGGGGAGAAUGGAACUUCUGGUGGAGCGGUGAAAUGCGUAGAUAUCAGAAGGAACGCCGGCGGCGAAAGCGAUUCUCUGGCCUAUUACUGACACUCAGUGUGCGAAAGCUAGGGGAGCAAACGGGAUUAGAUACUCCGGUAGUCCUAGCCGUAAACGAUGGGCACUAAGUAGAGGGGUUUU